AAUACGUAGGGUGCGAGCGUUAAUCGGAAUUACUGGGCGUAAAGCGAGCGCAGACGGUUACUUAAGCAGGAUGUGAAAUCCCCGGGCUCAACCUGGGAACUGCGUUCUGAACUGGGUGACUAGAGUGUGUCAGAGGGAGGUAGAAUUCCACGUGUAGCAGUGAAAUGCGUAGAGAUGUGGAGGAAUACCGAUGGCGAAGGCAGCCUCCUGGGAUAACACUGACGUUCAUGCUCGAAAGCGUGGGUAGCAAACAGGAUUAGAUACCCUGGUAGUCCACGCCCUAAACGAUGUCAAUUAGCUGUUGGGCAACUUGAUUGCUUAGUAGCGUAGCUAACGCGUGAAAUUGACCGCCUGGGGAGUACGGUCGCAAGAUUAAAACUCAAAGGAAUUGACGGGGACCCGCACAAGCGGUGGAUGAUGUGGAUUAAUUCGAUGCAACGCGAAGAACCUUACCUGGUCUUGACAUGUACGGAAUCCUCCAGAGACGGAGGAGUGCCUUCGGGAGCCGUAACACAGGUGCUGCAUGGCUGUCGUCAGCUCGUGUCGUGAGAUGUUGGGUUAAGUCCCGCAACGAGCGCAACCCUUGUCAUUAGUUGCCAUCAUUUAGUUGGGCACUCUAAUGAGACUGCCGGUGACAAGCCGGAGGAAGGUGGGGAUGACGUCAAGUCCUCAUGGCCCUUAUGACCAGGGCUUCACACGUCAUACAAUGGUCGGUACAGAGGGUAGCCAAGCCGCGAGGUGGAGCCAAUCUCACAAAACCGAUCGUAGUCCGGAUUGCACUCUGCAACUCGAGUGCAUGAAGUCGGAAUCGCUAGUAAUCGCAGGUCAGCAUACUGCGGUGAAUACGUUCCCGGGUCUUGUACACACCGCCCGUCACACCAUGGGGAGUGGGGGGAUACCAGAGUAGUAGGGUACCGC
rnacentral:rRNA from 1 species